UCGCGCACGGGAGGUCCUGAGGCCGGAACCCUCCGCGCGCACGGGAGGUCGUAAGGGCGGAACCCUCCGCGCGCACGGGAGGUCCUGAGGCCGGAACCCUCCUCGCGCACCGGAGGUCGUGAAAGCGGAACCGUCCUCGCGCACGGGAGGUCCUGAGGCCGGAACCCUCCUCGCGCACCGGAGGUCGUGAGGGCGGAACCGUUGUACGUGGAAUUCUUGCUCAUAUUAAAGAGACCAAAGAACGCCCUUGCUGCUUCUACUAGGUGAGGGCACAGAGAGAAGACAGCCACCAUCUAUGAACCAGGAAGCCCCCACCAGGCGCUGAAUCUGCUCCUGCCUUGAUGUUAGACUUGCAGGCUCCAGAACUGGAGAGGGAUCUGUGCCACAAGAUGGAUAGGAGAUAUCCAACAUUCCACGUCUCAAGAAUUCCAGAACCAAUGUAAUGAAUACAUAGACACAGUGUUGGGAAAAAGGCAUGUGCUGAGACCUGCUGAGCAUUACAAUAUAAAAGCCAUCCUAUUGACAGUCUCCAUCAGCCUGGAACUAUUGAACAUCAAAGAUUAAACUCAAUUAUUAAAUUUC